rnacentral:rRNA from 1 species
UACAGAGGGGGCGAGCGUUGUUCGGAAUUACUGGGCGUAAAGGGCGCGUAGGCGGCCUGCUAAGUCAUACGUGAAAUCCCUCGGCUCAACCGAGGAACUGCGUCUGAUACUGGUUGGCUUGAAUUCGGGAGAGGGAUGCGGAAUUCCAGGUGUAGCGGUGAAAUGCGCAGAUAUCAGGAGGAACACCGGUGGCGAAGGCGGAUCUCUGGGCCAUUACUGACGCUGAGGAGCGAAAGCGUGGGGAGCAAACAGG